AUGGUCUUUUUACAACGUCAGAGGUUGGAAAUUUGUGGGCAUAAUCCUUGUUAUCUGAGUUGCUUCGACGUUAUGUGUUACGAGCAUGGCUGCAAUGAUGGUGAAUGGGAGCUUUUUCUGAACCACCUACUUGACAAGAAAGUUUAUGUCAUCGAGGAUUGGGACUCAUCAUAUUCCACCAUUGAGACCUUGAUGUAUUAUUACGGAGUUAGGCAGCCGGAUGAUGGGACUGGGGAACAAUUCUUCAAAGGAGAAUGUGACGCUUCAUUUGAUAGUGUCACUAACACAGCAAGCUUCUCUUACAUAAUCUGGAAAGAUGAUGAAAUUGUUUAUUCAGAGGUUUUCUCGGGCCUUGUGUGCUCUUCAGCGGUUGAAGCGGAAAUGUAUGCCGCGUAUGCCCUUCUGUACAAAGCGGAACAGUUGAAGAUCCGUAAGUUGCUUCUAUGGACUAAUUCCAGAACAACAGCGGAUGUCCUAACUGGCGAGCAUCCAAUCAAGAGGGGCGAUGAGCAUUGUGACUUUUAUCUAACAUUAAGGGCGAUGAGAAUGCGGUUCAGUUGGUUUAUGGUAAGUUGGAAACCGAGAGAGCUGAUGUUUUUUGCGGAUGAUCUUGCAAAUCUUGCUAAGCUCCCUAUCAAUGAUUUACCUUCUGCUGUUAAACUUGCUCUUCUGAAAUGGGCCAGCCACCUCCGGGGUUUACCAGUCUUCAGAGUUGAAUGGACAAGUAUCACACAAACAGCUGUCAAGAAAUUUAAGAACGUAAUAUUGGAUGAUGAAACAUAUGGCGUGAAGGGCCCUGACGUCUAUCUUGUUGAAGUCAAAGAGGGCCGUAAGUUGGAAUGCUUGGUUGCGCUUAAACAGACUCUCAAGCCAAGUCAACUGACAGUGGCCCUUGACAGUUAUGAUGAUAAGUGUGAUUCGUUCAAGGAACAAUUGGGAACUGUCACUCUCAAGAAAUCACGCAAAAAUCUUGGUUCAGGGCCAAUGCCUGGUACAUGCAGCACUUUCACUAGUGAAUCUCUUCCCGCAUUGCCACCGCUUGAUGCGUCCAACACUUCAUCAACCAGCAAAUCUGCAUUGCCACCGCCUGAUGCGUCCAACACUUCAUCAACCAGCAAAUCUGCAUUGCCACCGCCUGAUGCGUCCAACUCUUCAUCAACCAGCAAAUCUGUGAACGGGUCUCCCCCCUCAAAAAAUUUGAUGGUGGUGUUGGAUUAUUCAGUUCCUAGGGAUCUUUAUUAUGACAGUGGUGCUUUUCAUGUGGUGUUUGUUACGCGGAGCGAGCGUGAGAGUAUGACUGAGGAGAUCCCAGAGUUGACUGCAUUAGGUUUUGUUUACUUCAAUGAUGUUAGAUUCCCAUUGAACAAAGUGAAGAAAGUGAACGCGCAGGAAGGGCAGAAGUAA
rnacentral:rRNA from 1 species